CUCUCUCUCUCUCUCUCUAAACCUCUUCUGUUAUCUUCUUCACUGUGAUCACUCGGUUCUCCUUAUGUUGAUUAACAAUCAAAAGGUUUAAAAAGAGUGUAAAAGUAGUUGUAAAAAUAUUUAUCCCUUGAUCCUAUACCCAUAUAUAUAUAUAUAUAUCAUACUUUAUUAAUGUACUAAAUGAUUAUUUUUUGAAUGAAAGUUUUGUUAGACAAAAUCUCAGGCGACGAAAUGUGAGUUUAAGCAACAAAAUUAGUUUUUCAGAAAAAUAUUAUAUUUUUUUAGUGAUAUAACCUGAUUUCCUUUUCGAUGCAUGAUAUUAGGAUAAUAAUACAUCACACUUAUCAAAUUUAACAACAGAAACUUCGUUUGACCCUCUUUAUCCCGCCUUAAUUGAGGUGAGAAGUGGGAAUGGAAAAUAUAAGAGACUGUUGUAGAUCAUAUAAUAGAAAUAAAACUGACUUGUAUUGUGAACUCUACUUUUAUUAGAGAGAUAUUUAGAUGUGGUCUAGAAAAUUAUUAAGAAUAUUCGCUUAGGUAUAUAUUAUUUAAGUCCUAAGUUUCCAAGUUGUUGAUAAACAAGUGGAAAAAAGAAGGAAAAUGACAAAAUAAAUGGACUCUCCCAACUCACCACGUGCUUUUGAAUUAGGACAAAGAGAUUAUCAUAUUUUACUAAUUAUAUGCUAAUUUAAAGUCUACAAAUAAAAGUAUCUAUGAUAAUUAGUUCCCUUGUCAUCAGGGUAUUGAAUAAUUUGAAUGGACCUUUUUUCUUUUCGUUUUCCUCUUCAAAUAAACGCAUGCAGUAUUGAUUGCAUUUUCUUGUGAAAUUAACCAAAUAGAAACAUGGAGAAGGCAUUCUAGAAGAGUAGAAGGUCAUUUACAUAUGAACAAUAGAAGAAAAGAAGUCCUUAUCAAGCGGCCAUUAUUUGUAGGGAGGUACUAUUCAUGCAUCCUUUUUUAUCUCUCAAACAUCACUUUCAAUUAAGCUGUCGGAUCAAAUAAUUUAAAAAAUAUCAAAUAACAAAAAUUAACAAGAAUGUAUAAGAGGUAACAAUAGGUGAAUAAAAAACUCGCCCCAU
rnacentral:lncRNA from 1 species